rnacentral:rRNA from 1 species
AAUGAACGUUGGCGGCGUGGAUUAGGCAUGCGAGUCGAGCGAGAACCGUAGCAAUACGGGGACAGCGGCGAAAGGGACAGUAACGGGUAGAUUAUCUGCCCACAGGUUUGGGAUAGCUGCGGGAAACUGCAAGUAAUACCAAAUAAUAUCUCCGGAUCAAAGGUGUGAGUCCGCCUGAGGAUGACUCUGCCUCCUAUUAGCUUGUUGGGGGGGUAACGGCCUACCAAGGCAUUGAUGGGUAGCGGGUGUGAGAGCACCACCCGCGUCAUUGGGACUGAGACACUGCCCAGACACCUACGGGUGGCUGCAGUCGAGAAUCGUCGGCAAUGGACGCAAGUCUGACGGAGCGACGCCGCGUGUGGGAUGAAGGCCUUCGGGUUGUAAACCACUGUCAGAGGAGAUGAAAUGCAGGUGGGUACUCCCAUUUGUUUGACAUAGCCUCAGAGGAAGUACGGGCUAAGUUCGUGCCAGCAGCCGCGGUAA